rnacentral:rRNA from 1 species
AGACGGAGGGUGCAAACGUUGUUCGGAAUUACUGGGCAUAAAGAGCACGUAGGCGGCCAGGUCAGUUCGGUGUGAAAGCCCUCGGCUCAACCGGGGAACUGCAUCGGAUACUGCCUGGCUUGAGGACGCUUGGGGUGAGUGGAACUCCUGGUGGAGCGGUGAAAUGCGUAGAUAUCAGGAGGAACACCGGUGGCGAAAGCGGCUCACUGGACCGUCUCUGACGCUGAGGUGCGAAAGCUAGGGUAGCGAACGGAAUUAGAAACCCCAGUAGUCC